rnacentral:lncRNA from 1 species
UGAAGUUGGAAGCGUCGGCGAAUCAACGAUGGAAAGUAUAAAGAUAGUUGUGAGGAGGAAGAGGGACCAAAUAGCAAAUGUAAAAGAGGGGAUUGGGGCAUUAAAUUAAAUGGUGGAUAGAUUGAGGGGCGGAUCAAAAUUAGGUUUCGGGAAGAAAGACAGAAAGAGAGGGCGUGUUUGGUCACAGGAAUUUGGAAUUGCUUUGUGGAGGCGAGGUUUUGACGAUGAGGAAGUUUGUGCAUUCGAGGGUUUCUAAUUUAUUUUUUUAUUUUUAAAUAAUGAAAAAAUAUAUUUGAGAAAUAGAAACAGAGAGAGAAAGAAAGAGGGAGGAUGAUAGAAUCUGGGAAAGGAACACGGAGAGAGAGCAAGAGGGAGACAGGGCAGACGUAAUAAAAAAUAAAUUAAAUUAAAAAAUUUUUGAAUUUUUUUUCUCUUACCGUUCUUUCCAUUUUCCUUUUUUUAUUUAAGAAGAUUUUCGUUUUUAUUUUUAUUAUUCGCCGCUGCCGUUUUGUACUUUUCCUUAAUGAGUUGGGCUAGCCAAUUGAAAUUAUGCAGGCCCAUAUAAGUGUUGGGCCCAAUUUCUGUUGCAGGCAAUUGAAGCAGGCCGCAGUAGUGAUGGCAAACUACAUAUAUAAAAUAAAAAAACACUACAAGUCCACAUAAAAUAAUAUGGAUUCCAAUAUAUAUAUAUAUAUAAUUUAUUUUUUACUUUAGUUUCAUUUAUGUUUUUUAAUUAAUUCUAUUAUGUUUUUCAUUUAACUUAUAUAUUUUUAUUUAAUUUUAAUUUAGUAAAUAAUUUAAUUAAAAAAUAAUGCGAUAUCCUUUUUUCGGCCGGAUCCGGAUUCGAAUUUGGAUAUGUACGGAUUCUAUAAUUUAGCAUAUGGAUCCACAUUUUUUAAUAUGCGGAUCCAAAUUUUUCCAUAUCUGAAUGUUCCAAAUCUUUGCGAAUUCAGACUGUACCCCGAUAUUUUUACCGUCCCCAGGCCGCAGCCUCAUUGCCUUUAUAUACUUUUUUGUCAUUUUAAAGCCAUAAAUUUAUUUCAGCUGUCUGCGUUUAUAAAAAUCCACAAUAAAUCAUAUGAUAAGAAAUUUUGAAAAUUUAGAUUUUGUUUAUAUUCUCUCACGGGAAUCAUAUCAUCUGAAUAACAUAAGUUCAUUUAAAACUUCGAACUGGAUCAAUUAAUUUAAAUAAAUUGGAUUGUAUUUAAUAGGAUUUUAAAUCAAAUAAUUAUUUUUAAUUACCAUUUCGAUUAUGAAAAUAAACAAACAAUUAAUGGAUGGUGCAGUAUCUUGAUUGAAAUGCCUUGAAGGUUUCUUGUUCUCCUUUUUCUGGAAAUAGCACUUUUGUUUUUCUCACUCUAAAUUGCUAAUUACAAGAAGAUUGUGAAACCGGCCAUAUUGUAAAUUUUGCCAAUGGCUAGGAAAGUCACUGUUGAGAAUGUCAAACUUGUGCUCCAAUGGUUCGACAUGAGCAGACCUUCUCAUAGAAAUUGAAGUACUUGACGCCUCUGACUGAUCAAGUCCCUCAGACAUAUCAAACUUUUGACCUGAAUCACUGCUUCCCAGGCCCUCUUCCCCACUAAAAUGGCUUGUUGAUGCAUCAGAGGUUCCUGACUCAGUUGGGAAGUUGUACAUUGGAAGCAUCGUAAAAAAGCUAACAGGUGGACCUGUGGGAUAAAAGGUCCAGGGAACAACCUCUGAAUUGUCCGGGGACCUUUGUCGAGCACCAUGACCUAAGAGGACAGGAGCAAUCGGAAUCACUGAUUCUGACCCACUUGUCUGAGCUUCUUCAGAUCCGGGCAUUUGAUGCCUUGGAAUAUGUAAAGGAGCAAGGGAUUGAAGUCCUACACUCCUGUCUGGUAUUUCAGACCCCAUGGUUGGAAGCAGAUUCCAUUCUUUGUUGUCUUCAUCAGCCUGAACAGAAGAAUUUUCUGACACACUACUACCUUUUCCAUACACUGGAGAAGCAGUAGAAGCCAUUUUUCUACCCCUUUCUUCUUUAGCUGGUUUUGAGACCUUUGCCGAUGAUCCUUCCCAAGAACUCUCAGAAUUGGUUUUACUUUUCACAGAACUUGUAUGUGAAGCAGGCAUAGAUCUUGAACUGGCAGAUCUGUCAUCAAAGUAAACCUCGUUACCUCUACUAUCUAGAUAAUGGAAAGAAUCUUCAUGAUCUUCCCUCAUUGACUCCCUGGCAUCUUUGUUGAAUUUAUGUGGAGCUCUUCUAGCACUGCCAGAGGCACCUAUCUGAGAUGAAGGAAGAAGGUUAUAACCAGCUGAAGUUGAUUGCUGCUUAUCGUCAGACUGAAGCAUCUCAAAAUUUCCAUUCUCAAGAUCAAAUCCGCCACCAGAACCCCGGUCCUGCUGAUGCCAGUAAUCAUUAUCACCCUCCAUAGGGUUCGUUUCCACAGGACCAAAAUUUUCAUUACCGCGUUCAAGUGAAUCUUCCGAGCUUGAGGUCAAUCCAACACCAGGAAAAAAAUGGGUUAAUGGUGAGGAAACCAAACUUUGGGGAAACUGCAUGUUGGCACCCGAUGCAGUCUCAAUGAAGGGAAGAUUGGUGGGAACCAUUCCACCCAAAUUUCUCUGAGAAUAUCCCAUUGAAGUUAGAAUUGAAUGUGGUAGAGGAAGAGGUAAGUGACCAGAAGCUAAAUUCAGUGGAAUGUGGACCUGUCCAUUAAAACCAUGAGCCAUGGAAGAUGCCAUCAAGUUCACAAGAUCUUGCUCUUCCUGUUGCAUCCCUUGUGUCCCUGCAACAGAAGAAAAUUCUUCACUCAUAGCACCCAAGACCAGAUCAUCACCGUAACUAUUAAACACACUGUUUGAAUCAGCAGUAGCAUCAAAGCUCUGACAGGAUGCAGUGUGACUAACAGAUGAAGGAUUGUCAGUUGAAGAUCUAAUGUCAUGGCUUGCCAAAAUAUCAGAUUCCAAGUUCUUCCUUCUACUAUUCUCCAACUUUGAAGAAGACAUCUGGCAUUUUACACUUUCUGGGGGUUUCUUAGGCCGCCCUUGGGAGGUAACUUCACCAUACGUGUCUGUAAGCUCGGGGCUAGAGCGUGUCCGUGCAAACAGAUAUCUACCCUUAAUGUCACCAAUCAUUGUAUCAGGUUUAAAACUUCUGUUACCUUUAUCAUUAUUUGCAUUCUGAUUAAUACUAGCAUCCCUUCUACCCUGAUCAAAAGCCCUGGUGCUAUUCAAGUUACCAUAGUUCUUUUGGGUUUGUGUACGAGAAACUGUGGAAACAGAACUGACCCUAAAAGUACUUUCAACAGGACUAUUAAUAUGCUGAGAUGAAGCACUACCAUGCGAUCUGUCAACUUGAGAUUCACAACCAAUGGAAAUCUCAUUUCUUUUGCCACCUAAACCUGAAUUGUUGUGGAGAUUCUCAGGCUCAUGUUGAUGGUCUCGAUUUGACAAUCGCAAGCGCCACAAGUCAUUCCUUGGUGCAUCCGGACGAAUGCCGCUACCAUGUCUAUCCCGGGUAUUCAUAAAAAACUGAUUUACUUCAUUAUAUAAGUCCUCAUUGGGACAAUCAAGUAACCUUGCCAGCCCUUUAGCCCUAAAUGUAAAUGCCGUGCGUAUCCUAAAGAAGUUACCUGGCCAAUUUAUAUAGACAGAAGGAAACAAAUUACAAAAUUUCAGAUAGUAGAAAAUCAGACCAAGAAUUACAAGCACAUGAAAAGCACUACAAUCUCAUAGCCGAUACUCCAUAUUUGUGCACCAAUAUAUUGAACUCAGACCAUAUAAAUGUAUUUGUGCAAGCUUAUAAGUAUAUGUUCCAUACCAUUUGCUUCACAGAUGCAGUGAAUUUUGCCAAAAUGUGUGAAGGUUAUCGACGGCUACACUAAAAAUAGGAUCAUACAAAGAAUAUAAAAGAUGUUUUGAGGUAAAAAUAGAUUAUUUGAAGGUUAUUAACAACUACAGUGGACUCAUUUAGAAUUCCAUCCCAAAGAAAAAGUGAAGCCAAUGAAGUCACAAACACAAAACACUUGUAAACAAAUAAAUUAUAUUAUAAAAGGUUAUCUUCAUCAUAAUGCCUAUUAAGCCCUUUACAUUUAUUAAAAAUAUUUAAAUAUAGAAACCCCAUAGUUAAUAUAAACAUAUCUAGGAUCAUCUGAGCGUGACACCUUGGGCGUAGCUCUGCUGGCCGCGUAUGCACUUUGCACCCACGGUCACCCAACUUUGAAUGAUAAUAUGGAAAGGGUUGAUGCGGGUAAGGUUCUCAUCCCCAUGUAUUUAUUCUGCUCUUGGUUUUAUUUCAUUUGUUAAAAGUAAGCACCACCACAAUAAGUGUGGGAGGGUUAGAAAAAGUCACAGGUAACUUCUUAGACAAUGCCCUUCUCGAGAAUAAAUCAACUACAAGAUACCAGAUGCAUAAAGUGAAUCAAUGGAGACCAACACAGGAGUUCACCUAGUAAAGAAGUGAAAUUUUCUAUUGUGAAGAAAAAUUAAGAAAGUAACCAAGCAAAAACAGAUUAAGAUGCCAUUCAUAGCAUACAAUCAUAAAAAGGUUAGGCAUAUAUGAAGCCACAACUAAACUAAAAUAUAACCUGCUUAUGCUAACCGACAUUGGAGCCCAAGCAGGCUACAAAAAAGAACCACAUGAAGACAGUUCAAAUUGCCACUGGAAAAUGGUAGGUAAGAAAUAAAAAUAAGCAAAACAUUAAAAAAUAGGAACAGGCAAUGUUUCAUAGAAUUACAAAGACCAUUCAAAAAAAAAAAGAAAGACAUUAAUUCAAAAUAAAAUUAAUAGUAUCACAUUCACCAUGCCAGAGGAAUGAACAGAUGAUAUCACAGUAUCGCAACAAAUAAUAAGCCCACAAAAGAAAUAGAACUGUAGUAUAUAGUUUGUCAAUGCACCUUUACUAACACUGCGCCCAAGGUUGUUGUUUACACGCAAAGGAUCGAUGACAUUAAAAUGUUUUGAAACAAAGGGUUGGCCCUGAUUUUCUUGGCCACCAGGAAAAACAGCAUAUGUAGAACUACAAGCAUCAAGAAACAAUUUGCUAAGAAGUAACACUCCACCAUCUUUUCGAGGAGGUUCCGCUGUAAAACAGACCAAGGGGAAACAUCAAGCUUGAUGAUCACUUAUGCGAGGAUCAAAAUUAGAAUUUUCAAGCAAAAUAUCUAUACCCGUUACAUCUGGAAGCAAACUGAUGGGUACAGGACCCCAAAGGCUUAGACAGAAGUUGUCCCAGUCAAACUUGCUAAAAAACUCUAGAAAACGAUAAAGGACCUACGAGUGGAAAGAUAAAAACUAUCAGACUACUAAAAGUACAAAUGUAUGAAAAUAGUGAGAAAAUGUUCACAUAGCCACCUCAAGCGGACCAGCAAAAGAACCAUUGAAAACAUGAAAUAUGUAAAGAACCAAUGUGACCAAGGCAUAAGAUGAUAUUAGUCCAUGGUGACCACCCAAUAUUCGGCUUUCAUAAUAACACCAAGCCUUUAUCAGUAUAAUGCUGCGCUUGAAAAGAUGAUUCUCAUUUAUCAAAUGAUCAACCUAUUUAAGCAGAGAAAAACAAUUAGCAAAUAAACAUAAUCAUCAUAAUGGAUUACAAUUUGAAAAGGAAACGUUCAAUGGCAAAGUUGAUGCACCACGGACCUCAUCAAGGAAACAAAGAGUGCAUAACCCACCAAGCUGGUUAAAUGCUAUGUCUACAACAAAAUUAUCGACAAGGCACUUUAUUAUCUUUACCUACAAAUAAUAACAGAAAAAGAAUGUUAAAUUCAGUACAAAACAAAAAACUUGAGGCAAAAUGGGCUUAUAUAGGUUACAUUAGAAUUUAUGCAGAAAAUCCACAAAUAAGAAUUUAGAUAACCAUAAUAACAGUAACGGUUUAGUGGACAAUCAAGCAUCUUCUCAGAUAAAUAAAUCACCACAAUCAGUCACAACGAAUAGCAUUGCAACUCUGAAACUAAAAUUUCAGGGGAUAAAUCCAAACUUAUCUCCAGUUAAAAUAAAUCACAAGUUUGAAAUUUGUAAAACUACAUCAGACGGAAAUUUUCCAUCAAAUAAUACAGGGCAUGAAUGGAAGACUAUGAGCCACAAUCUUUAGAAAACCAGGGUACGAUGAAACUCACUUCUGCCUGAAUGUACUGAACCUCCUUGACACGGAAUUCAGCAUGCUCAUUCUUCUCUUCAUUUUCCAACAUAUCAUGCACCAGAUGAGCCCAUGUGUCCUUCAAAGUUUGAUCAUCACUAAAAGCUCCUAAGUCAAUGUCCCUAUCUGGUAAAUAGGUCUUAAGGGGUACAGACCCAAAAGUAAAAACCUGUACACAAAAAUAAUCACUAGUGAAUAAUAACAUAAAAUAAAUGAAAAUGCAAAAGCUUAAAUGAUGCCAAUUUGUUCAACACCCCAUCACAUUCACUAAAUAUAGGAUGAUUGCAACUAUUUAUGCCUGUGUUUUGACUAAUAAGUUAAACCGGGAUAUACAACAUUAACAAAACUCAACAUAAUACAUGUUCAUUGGGUCGAAUCAAUAAAGCAACGCAGCAUAAACAAAUUCUCACACAUAUGUAAAAGUUGGCAACCUGACAAGGAAAGCAUUGGAUAAUGAGGCGCCGAACAUAAGCUGCAACAGCAUUGCGGCGUUCUUCGGAAAAGGGGUCGGGCUGAAUGCGGGCAAUAAGCUCUGCAGUUAUCUCCUCUGCCUUCAACCAUCGUCCCGGGUCAAGUGGUCGGAUCACUGAACCUGCUUCAUUGGGCAAUAACCCGUUUAAUAAUAGCCCACUUGGUGGCUCUCUCCGCCCUUCAUGCUCUCCCAUGCAAUCCCUUUAAUUUUCGCUUUGCUAAUCUUUACCCAAAAUGUCACCGCCACCGCCACCACAACUACUAAAACAACUUGCCGAUCAAACUAAGUUUCUCGAAUUCAAAGUCUAUCAGUUUUGUUUUUAUGCUUGAGUUUCAAUUAUUAUUAACCUUUUUCUUAAGUAAUAGUAAGAAGAAUUUUAGGUUUUGACAUUUAUAUAACCUAAAGAAGAAUACAAAAUUGUAAAUUUAUAACAAACUGAAUAUAUUAGUAAAGAAAAAGGAUAUGCUGAAACCCUGAAGAUAAAAAUAAGAAGCAGAUUAGUGAUACAGAUUGGUUGAGAUUUAUCAAAACCUAAGGAGAAUGUUUUGGAAGUUGGAAGCGUCGGCGAAUCAACGAUGGAAAGUAUAAAGAUAGUUGUGAGGAGGAAGAGGGACCAAAUAGCAAAUGUAAGAGAGGGGAUUGGGGCAUUAAAUUAAAUGGUGGAUAGAUUGAGGGGCGGAUCAAAAUUAGGUUUCGGGAAGAAAGACAGAAAGAGGGCGUGUUUGGUCACAGGAAUUUGGAAUUGCUUUGUGGAGGCGAGGUUUUGACGAUGAGGAAGUUUGUGCAUUCGAGGGUUUCUAAUUUAUUUUUUUAUUUUUAAAUAAUGAAAAAAUAUAUUUGAGAAAUAGAAACAGAGAGAGAAAGAAAGAGGGAGGAUGAUAGAAUCUGGGGAAGG